CCUACGGGAGGCAGCAGUGAGGAAUAUUGGUCAAUGGGCGGAAGCCUGAACCAGCCAAGUCGCGUGAGGGAAUAAGGCCCUACGGGUCGUAAACCUCUUUUGCCGGGGAGCAAGGGCGGGGACGUGUCCCGGCCCGGAGAGUACCCGGAGAAAAAGCAUCGGCUAACUCCGUGCCAGCAGCCGCGGUAAUACGGAGGAUGCGAGCGUUAUCCGGAGUUAUUGGGUUUAAAGGGUGCGUAGGCGGGCUUUUAAGUCAGCGGUAAAAAUUCGGGGCGCAACCCCGUCCGGCCGUUGAAACUGGUGGCCUUGAGUGGGCGAGAAGAAGGCGGAAUGCGUGGUGUAGCGGUGAAAUGCAUAGAUAUCACGCAGAACCCCGAUUGCGAAGGCAGCCUGCCGGCGCCCUACUGACGCUGAGGCACGAAAGUGCGGGGAUCGAACAGGAGUAGAUACCCCGGUAGUC
rnacentral:rRNA from 1 species